GGCUGCUCUUGGAUGUGGGCAAAAGGCUGAAUAGGUCAAGGUGCACGUGACUGAAGCGGGAAUCAGGAGGUCUGAAGGUACGGAGCGGACUCACCAUGUGC
rnacentral:lncRNA from 1 species